UACGUAGGGGGCAAGCGUUGUCCGGAUUUAUUGGGCGUAAAGAGCGUGUAGGCGGCUGGGUAGGUCCGCUGUGAAAACUCGAGGCUUAACCUCGAGACGUCGGUGGAAACCAUCCAGCUAGAGUCCGGAAGAGGAGAGUGGAAUUCCUGGUGUAGCGGUGAAAUGCGCAGAUAUCAGGAAGAACACCCGUGGCGAAGGCGGUUCUCUGGGACGGUACUGACGCUGAGACGCGAAAGCGUGGGGAGCGAACAGG
rnacentral:rRNA from 1 species